rnacentral:rRNA from 1 species
UACGUAGGGGGCUAGCGUUGUCCGGAAUCAUUGGGCGUAAAGAGCGUGUAGGCGGUCCGGUAAGUCCGCUGUGAAAGUCGGGGGGCUCAACCCUCGAAUGCCGGUGGAUACUGUCGGGCUAGAGUGCGGAAGAGGCGAGUGGAAUUCCUGGUGUAGCGGUGAAAUGCGCAGAUAUCAGGAGGAACACCUAGUUGCGAAGGCAGCUCGCUGGGACGUAACUGACGCUGGAGACGCGAAAGCGUGGGGAGCAAACAGG